rnacentral:rRNA from 1 species
GAGCAAUCCAUGAGUAGAGUGGCGAACGGGUGAGUAACACGUGGGUGACCUACCUUCGAAUGGGGGAUAACGUCCCGAAAGGGACGCUAAUACCGCAUAACAUCCUGCCUUUGAACAGGUGGAGAUCAAAGCCGGGGAUCGCAAGACCUGGCGUUUGGAGAGGGGCCCGCGUCUGAUUAGCUAGUUGGUGAGGUAACGGCCCACCAAGGCGACGAUCAGUAUCCGGCCUGAGAGGGCGGACGGACACACUGGGACUGAGACACGGCCCAGACUCCUACGGGAGGCAGCAGUGGGGAAUUGUUCACAAUGGGCGCAAGCCUGAUGACGCAACGCCGCGUGGAGGAUGAAGGUCUUCGGAUUGUAAACUCCUGUUGCCCGGGACGAAAAGCUUCGACCUAAUACGUCGAAGUCUGACGGUACCGGGUGAGGAAGCCCCGGCUAACUCUGUGCCAGCAGCCGCGGUAAUACAGAGGGGGCAAGCGUUGUUCGGAAUUACUGGGCGUAAAGGGCGCGUAGGCGGCCUUCUAAGUCAUACGUGAAAUCCCCGGGCUCAACCCGGGAACUGCGUCUGAUACUGGAAGGCUUGAAUCCGGGAGAGGGAUGUGGAAUUCCAGGUGUAGCGGUGAAAUGCGUAGAUAUCUGGAGGAACACCGGUGGCGAAGGCGGCAUCCUGGACCGGUAUUGACGCUGAGGCGCGAAAGCCAGGGGAGCAAACGGGAUUAGAUACCCCGGUAGUCCUGGCCCUAAACGAUGAAUGCUU